rnacentral:pre_miRNA from 1 species
AAUAAACCAAUUUUUCACCUUUUAUCUUCAAUUUUUGACUUUUCAUCUUAUUCAAAAAUUUUUUGCGAUUGAUAUUUUUGUUUUUAUUAGAUGAUAAAUUAUGAAUAUUACUUUACGUAUGACUAAUUUUUUUAAUUUACUGAAAUUUUUUUAAAUAAAACGAAUUGUCGCACGUUUGACACGAAAACCGAAAAAUUCGUUUUUU